GACAACGCUGGCGGCGUGCUUAACACAUGCAAGUCGUACGAGGACCUGGAGCUUGCUCCGGAGAGCCGAGUGGCGAACGGGUGAGUAACACGUGACCAACCUAUCCAAGGGCGGGGGACAACCCGGGGAAACCUGGGCUAAUACCGCAUGAUGUUCGAGCUCCGCAUGGAGCAUGAAUCAAAGGGGGCCUCUGCUUGCAAGCUCUCACCCAUGGAGGGGGUCGCGACGUAUCAGCUAGUUGGUGGGGUAACGGCCUACCAAGGCUACGACGCGUAGCGGGUCUGAGAGGAUGAUCCGCCACAUUGGGACUGAGAUACGGCCCAGACUCCUACGGGAGGCAGCAGUGGGGAAUAUUGCGCAAUGGACGAAAGUCUGACGCAGCGACGCCGCGUGUGGGAGGAAGCCUUUCGGGGUGUAAACCACUGUCAGAAGGGAAGAACACCAACUGCACUAAUAUUGCUUUUGGAUGACGGUACCUUCAGAGGAAGCGCCGGCUAACUCCGUGCCAGCAGCCGCGGUAAG
rnacentral:rRNA from 1 species